CUUCAACAAGCAUUUAUUAAACGCCUACUAUGUGCUCAGCACUAUACUAGGCACUCGGGGGUGCAGAGAUACAAAUGUAAAAGUUAUUAUUCCUGCCCUCAAGGAGCUUACAAUUUAAUUUUGGAAAUAAAUACAAAUAUGAAACUGUAACACAGAGUGCUAGAAAAUAAUUACAAAGCAACAUAUUAGUAAGUACAUGGACCACAGUACAAACUCAAAAGAUAAGUGCUGAGGCAGCACAGAAUGAGGGAGGUCAUCGCAUGAGGUGAUGUCAAUCAGGGAGAGCUCAGUCAGAAGAUAUAAAGGAAGAAAGGCUUUGAAGGGAGUGAUGAACAUGAGCUGGGACCAAAGAGCAAUCUAAGCAAAAAGAAUAGCAUGAGAAAGGCACAGAGGCAAGAGCUUGUAAGACAUCAGUAGAAGGCUGUAGGAAGUUUGAAUCUGUUGAAUCAAGGUGAAUAUGCUAGAGAGUAAUGAAGGCUGAUGAAUAUUAGGCAUAGAGGUAAUGGAGAAUUUGGAACACCACUGCUCCAUAGGAAUUAUCUACUGGGUGUUACUUAGUGAAAAUGAAAUUUUACAAUAGAGAUAUUGUAAAAAUGGGUGUUUGAGGAGGACAGUCUUUUCUCACACCCAAUAUAACACUAAUUUUUCUAGUCAUAUUAUUUUCUCCAAAUUUAUGCCACAUGCUUAGUAAUUCUGAGAUUUAAGUAAUCUGGCUACAUAUUACUCUUAAUACUGACACAUAAAGAGACUUUAGCUAGUACAUCUGUAUACAUUUCAAUGUGUUGCUCUGGUCUAUGGCCAUACCACCCUGAAUGCACCCAAUUUUGUUAAUAUGUUGCAUUGCUAAAAGGACUUU
rnacentral:lncRNA from 10 species